rnacentral:rRNA from 1 species
GAUGAACGCUGGCGGCGUGCCUAACACAUGCAAGUCGAACGAACAGACGAGGAGCUUGCUCCUCUGACGGUAGCGGCGGACGGGUGAGUAACACGUGGAUCACCUACCUAUAUUUCUGGGAUAACUUCGGGAAACCGGAGCCAAUACCAGCUAAUAUAUUGAACCGCAUGGUUCAAUAGUGAAUGACGGCUUUGCUGUCUGUUAUAGAUGGAUCCGCGCGGCAUUAGCUAGUUGGUAAGGUAACGGCUUACCAAGGCAACGAUGCGUAGCCGACUUGAGGGGGGGAUCGGCCACACUGGAACGGAGACACGUUCCGGACUCCUAGGGAAGGCAGAGUUGGGGAUACUGGCGCAAGGGGGGAAAGCCUGACGAAGCAACGCGGGGGGGGUGAGGAAGGUCUUCGGUUGGUAAAACUCUGUGAUUGGGGAAAAACAAAUGUGUAAGUAACUAUGCUCGUCUGAACGGUACCUAAUCAGAAGCCCAGGCCUAACUAGGU